UACGUAGGGUGCGAGCGUUAAUCGGAAUUACUGGGCGUAAAGCGUGCGCAGGCGGUUUUGUAAGCCAGAUGUGAAAUCCCCGGGCCUAACCUGGGAAUGGCAUUUGGGACUGCAAGGCUUGAGUGUGGCAGAGGAGACUGGAAUUCCUGGUGUAGCAGUGAAAUGCGUAGAUAUCAGGAGGAACACCGAUGGCGAAGGCAGGUCUCUGGGCUAACACUGACGCUCAUGCACGAAAGCGUGGGGAGCAAACAGG
rnacentral:rRNA from 1 species